rnacentral:rRNA from 1 species
UUUACCUACGGGGGGCAGCAGUGAGGAAUAUUGGUCAAUGGGCGCGAGCCUGAACCAGCCAAGUCGCGUGAGGGAGGACGGCCCUACGGGUUGUAAACCUCUUUUGCCGGGGAGCAACGGGCGUCACGUGUGGCGCCACUGAGAGUACCCGGAGAAAAAGCAUCGGCUAACUCCGUGCCAGCAGCCGCGGUAAUACGGAGGAUGCGAGCGUUAUCCGGAUUUAUUGGGUUUAAAGGGUGCGUAGGCGGAAUAUCAAGUCAGCGGUAAAAAUUCGGGGCUCAACCCCGUCGUGCCGUUGAAACUGA